GUCCACGCCGUAAACGAUGAGUACUAUGUGUUGCGGGUAUUGACCCCUGCAGUGCCGCAGCUAACGCAUUAAGUACUCCGCCUGGGAAGUACGGUCGCAAGACUAAAACUCAAAGGAAUUGACGGGGGCCCCGCACAAGCGGUGGAGCAUGUGGUUUAAUUCGACGCAACGCGCAGAACCUUACCUGGUCUUGACAUCUACGGAACCCUCCCGAAAAGGAGGGGUGCCUUUCGGGGAGCCGUAAGACAGGUGCUGCAUGGCUGUCGU
rnacentral:rRNA from 1 species